rnacentral:rRNA from 1 species
UACCCUGGUAGUCCAUGCCGUAAACGUUGGGCACUAGGUGUGGGGGACAUUCCACGUUUUCCGCGCCGUAGCUAACGCAUUAAGUGCCCCGCCUGGGGAGUACGGCCGCAAGGCUAAAACUCAAAGGAAUUGACGGGGGCCCGCACAAGCGGCGGAGCAUGCGGAUUAAUUCGAUGCAACGCGAAGAACCUUACCAAGGCUUGACAUGAACCGGAAAUACCUGGAAACAGGUGCCCCGCUUGCGGUCGGUUUACAGGUGGUGCAUGGUUGUCGUCAGCUCGUGUCGUGAGAUGUUGGGUUAAGUCCCGCAACGAGCGCAACCCUCGUUCUAUGUUGCCAGCGCGUUAUGGCGGGGACUCAUAGGAGACUGCCGGGGUCAACUCGGAGGAAGGUGGGGACGACGUCAAAUCAUCAUGCCCCUUAUGUCUUGGGCUUCACGCAUGCUACAAUGGCCGGUACAAAGGGUUGCGAUACUGUGAGGUGGAGCUAAUCCCAAAAAGCCGGUCUCAGUUCGGAUUGGGGUCUGCAACUCGACCCCAUGAAGUCGGAGUCGCUAGUAAUCGCAGAUCAGCAACGCUGCGGUGAAUACGUUCCCGGGCCUUGUACACACCGCCCGUCAAGUCACGAAAGUUGGUAACACCCGAAGCCGGUGGCCUAACC